rnacentral:lncRNA from 1 species
UGGUUGGGGGCAGCCAUGGAAGAUCUGCAUUCACUGUUCUACGUGCGUGAGGGACCGUAGAUUUUCAUUUGGGGAGGCACGUUGCGAAUCCAUCCGCCCUUUUGGUCUUCAUCUUAUCGGUUUCCUCUCAGAUGUUCGGUUUGAGUGUUGCCAUUCCAGCUGGGCUUCAUCCUUCUUCUCAUCACACAGGUUUAGCUGAAAGGGAAUUUUGGGUUUCGUAAAAAAAGGUUGGUUUUAAUGUUCUUUUGGUUUUCUAGGUUGGUUUAUUCAUUUGUCAAAGUAAAUCAGAAAUUGAGUUUGGUUUGUUGUUAUAGGGAGGAAGAUCGAAGGAAAAAGAACUGGAGUAACUAAUAUAGGACCCCCAGUCUGCUCAUAAAUCUGGUAAUUGAUGUCUGUGUGGCUGAUUUUUUGUUUGCCUGUGGUUAUAGACUCCUUUUUUUUUUUUCUUUUUUUUAAAUAAUUAUUUUAAUGACUCCAAAUUUUAGUUGGUUUUUUGAAUUGGGUAAUUGUUGUUGUUGGAGAAUUGGAUUAGAUUUUAUUUCUUUUUUCCAUCCUCUCUCUCUCUCUAAUUUUUGGUUCUUGAUGGAAUUUUUGCUUCAAUUUUUGCUCUUUUUGGUUCAAUGAAGAAAGCAUUUAGGUUUGAUCUGUUUACUAUCUCUAAUUUUUGGAUCCAAAUGGGAUUUCUUUCAUUAUAUAUGCUAUUUUUCCAGAGCACCAGUGAAGAAAGCAUUUAGAUUUGAUGGGUUUGAUGUCAACGGUAUGAAUCUCUCUCUCUCUCUUUUUGUUUUUGUUUUUGGUUCACCAAAUGGUUUUCAUCUAUUCUAAUUUUCUGAUUUUUAAAUUAUUUUUCGGGAAUUAAUGGAGAUGAUGUGGUUCAUGUUAGGAUUUUGGCUCGUCAAAUAUGUCCUAGUGGGUUUAGGAUUGUUUUAGGAAAAUUGGAAGUGUACUGGUUCUUGUCCUAAAGGGGUUAGGAAAGAAUUUCAGUUUUCCUUAUUCAAUUUAGGUUUGGAUUUCUAGAAGUCUAUUUGGAUUUGGAUAUGUGUAAUUUCCUAAUUCACGUAGAAAUAGGAAUUUAAUCAGCCUUGGGACAUGUAAGCCAACUCUAUAUCUAUAAGUAGGGUGCGGCAAGGCUUAUUUUAGAAGAAGAGAAACAGCCAGAGACAGCCAAGAGUUUUGAGAUUAGUUCUAGGGUUGCAAAAGUUCUGUAAUCUCUAUUAUUAAUCAAAUGAGCGGUGAUCUCUCUACCCAGAGAAAUCACAACUGGACGUAGGCAAAAGUUAUGCCGAACCAGUAUAAUUCUUGUGUGUGUCUAAGUUUUCUAAUAUUUGGUAGUUUAGUCUAUUGUCGUUGGUUAUAUUAAAGAACAAGAUCUAGUGUGCGGGUUAUUUAACAAUUGGUAUCAGAGCUUGGCUCAAGGGGUUCUACGAUAUCUAAAGGGAAGAUGAAUGCGAAUCUAGGACCUGCGUUAAAGCCAUUUGAUGGCAAGGAUGACUUCACGGACUAGCAAAGGACAAUGAAGAACGUACUGAUAUAGCAAGAUUUGGAUGAUACACUCAACAGUGAGAAGCCGGCAAGCAUGACAGACGCAACAUGGACUAAGGUUCUCAAGAAGGCCAAGAGUUCCAUCGAGAUCCAUCUCACAAGAUCAGUUCGGUCACACAUCACCGAAAAGAUGACUACCCAUGAAGCAUGGAAAAAGUUGGAGAAUGUUUAUAUGGGCAAAACCGUGUCCAAUAAACUUUUUCUAAAGGAUGAACUAUUCAGACUUCAACUGGAAGGAGGAGGUGAUAUUGAAGAUCACAUAUGCAAGUUCCAAAAUUGCAUAAGUAAUCUUCUAAAGGUCGAAGAAACUUACAAAGAUGAUGAUAUGGCUAUCAUCUUGCUGAGGUCUCUACCUUCAUCUUUCAAGCACUUUCGAACAACUCUAAUGUUUGGAAAAGAGUCCCUGAAGCUUGAAGACGUAAUUCAAGCUCUUCAGUCAUAAGCUAAACUAUAUGAUAUAGCUAAAAGCUCUCAAGGCCUUUAUGUCAAAGGCAAGGAGAGAGGGCGGGAAAAGACAUAGGAAGAGAAAACAGGCAAUAGAAGUAGGUCAAAAUCCAAGAAGAAAAAGGAAAAGAAGGAAGGUUGCUUCGAAUGUGGUUCAGCCGAUCAUUGGAAGAGGAACUACAAGAUUUGGAAAGAGAAGAAAGCCAAGAGGGAAGGAAGCUCAGGUUCAGCUAGUACAGUCAUCGAGAAUGAGAGUGCGGGGAGAUUUUUUCAGUAACAUCAGGCUCCAAGGCUUUCACAAAUUGGAUUUUGGAUACCAUAUGCACUUUUCAUAUGUGUGUGGUAAGAGAAUGGUUCAAUACUUACAAAGAAGUCAGCAGUGGGGAAUUUUUAAUGGGGGACGAUUCUUCAUGUCCUGUAAAAUGAAUUGACACUGUUCGAAUCAGAAUGUUUGAUGGGAUGAUACGAGUUUUGGGGAAUGUUAAAUAUGUCCCUAGACUAAGAAAGAAUUUGAUUUCCUUGGGUACUUUAGAUGAGGCCGGCUAUGGGUACGAGUCUAAAAAGGGAAGACUCAGGAUAGCCAAAGGAUCAUUGGUGGUAAUGCGGGUGACCUACAACCCAAUAAGCUUUAUAAGUUAAUUAGCACCACUAUAGUCUGGGGAGCAGCUGUUUCUGUAAAUCAAGGUAUAGAAGACAAGACUGAACUCUGGCAUCAUAGGCUCAGGCACAUAAGCCAGAAAGAGUUGCAAGAAUUACACAAGCAAGGCCUGUUGGAAGACGUGUCAUCUUGCAAACUGGACUUUUGUGAAUAUUGUGUUCUUGGAAAGCAAAGGAAGGCAUCAUUCACGAGUAACAGUGCAGAUAACCGAAGCAAGGAGCAACUCAGCUAUAUUCACUCAGAUGUUUGGGGCCCUGCACCAACCAAAUCAAAUGGUGGAGUUAGGUAUUUUGUUACUUUCAUGGAUGAUUUUUCUAGGAAGGUUUGGGUUUAUUUCAUGAAGCAGAAAUCUGAGAUUUUUGCAAAGUUCAAGGAAUGGAAAACAGAAACCGAGAAUCAAACUGGAAGAAAGAUCAAGUACCUGAGAAGUGACAAUGGAGGUGAAUAUACAAUUAAUGAGUUUACUGAUUACUGCAAGCAAGAAGGCAUCAUAAGGCACUUCACAGUAAAGAAGAAUCCCCAACAAAAUGGAGUUGCUGAGAGGAUGAAUCGAACUCUCAUGGAGAGAGAGAGAGAGAGAGAGAGAGAGAGAGAGAGAGAGAGAGAGAGAGGAGCAUGCAAUUUCAUGCAGGAUUGCCUGACAAUUUUUUGGCAGAAUCUGUUAAUCAUGCAAGUUAUUUGAUUAACGGAUCACCAUAUACAGUUUUCGGUUUUAAGAGUGUAGAAGAGGUAUGGUCUGAGAAGCUGGUGGACUAUUCCAAGCCCAUGGUAUUCGGCUGUAGUGCUUAUGCACAUAUUCCAAGUGAUGAAAGCUCCAAGCUCAAACCAAAGUCUACACAUUGCAUAUUCUUAGGUUUUGAGAAAGGAGUGAAGGGUUUCAAGCUUUGGGAUAUCAACAACAGAAAAAAAUGUUGUCAGCCGAGAUGUUGUCUUUGAUGAGACAACCAUGCCUCUGAAUAAAGUCGAAAGCAGUAGGGAGAAGAAAGACGAUGCUGAAAUUGAAGCAACAAAGAUUCUGUUAAUCAGUUCAGACGAAGAAGAUUCCGUGAAUUUAAAUUAUUAAUACUUUAAAUAGAUUACUAGUCGUAAUUCAUAGAAGGAAAACACCAUUAAUUCAAAAAUAGAUUACUAAUCAUAAAAUAGAUUACUAAUACUUUAAUGUGUAAUUUAAUAUUUAAUUUCAAAUAAGUUUGUAAAUUAGUUCCUACAUCCAUUACAACUAUUUGGAGAUAUUUCCAAAUUCAACGAGUGUCAUUAGUUACACCCCCCAUAAUACAUUAACUUAUAAAUAAUGGUAGUUUUGGAAUCCGAAAAAUACAAUAAAUUAGAUUUUAAGUUAUGUUAGGAAACUUGCUUAGUUGGAUCCUAGUAAUCGAGUAUUAUUUGAAAAAAUUGGGUAUUUUACAUAGAAAACUAAAGGAAAGGGUUGUAGGUGAUUUAAAAUGAAUUUUAUGGGUCUAAGCUCAAUUUACUAUAAAUUUAACUCAUAUCACAUUUAGUACUUUAAAUUCACCCAAACAUAAAUUGGAUUAAAACUGUUUGUUUGCUAAGAAAAUGCAAGAAAAAAGCAGAAAAUUUCAUCUUUUUAAACAUUUUACUAUUGUUUUGUGGGUAGGAGUUCACUGAUUAGGCUUAAAGAGCGUUUGAGGUCACCCGCUUAAUAACAUUACUACUUUUUAUUGAAAUUACAUGGGUUUCUGUGGAAUCUCAAGGACAUAAAGGCAAAAGUUUGAGUCUUUGUUCUAUAAUUAUGUUGAAUUGAAAAUUUGGUGCCUUUGUUCUUUCUUGCAUGUGCUUGGAAUUACAAUGAAAAAAUUUCCUUUCAUUAUUUCUUUGUUGUUGAAGGGUUUGAGCAUGAGGACAAAGGUGAUUUUGCAACCUCACCGAAGCAUUUCAGGCGAGAACCAUAUCUUUGAAUUGCUCUUUUCGACCAAAAUUAACCCUUUUGUGUGAUGGUUUACCAUCUCAUUGGGCUCUAUGCACUACUACAUUUUACAAUUUGCUCGACGAAAAGAAUUUCAUCGUGUAAAGUACAUUUUAGUCGCACAAAUUUCAGCGCGACAAAAAUUUCGUCGCGCAAAGAUUGUGAAGAAAGACUUUGCUCGACGAAAAAAUAUUGGUCGCGCAAGUUUUGCGCCACAAAAAGUAUUGGUCGCGAAAAGUUUUGCGCGACGAAAAAUAUUGGUUGCGCAAAGUCUAAAAAAUAAAAAAUUCCCGCGUCCCAUUUUUGGUACCCGCCCAAAUUUUUAGAAUUUUGCGCGACGAAAUAUUUUUUGUGUUUUAAAUUUUUUUAAUUAAAAUAAACUAAUUUAAUAAUUUGCUAAGGUUUUUGAAUUUUUGUUUUCUUAUUACUUUAAUACUAAUUUAAUUAUAUUAAUUUAUUCAGAUUUUUACUUUUUAAAUUAAAUUUAAUUGUAUUAUUUUUUUAUUACUUUAAUUUAAAUUGAUAGUAAUUUAAUUAUAUUAAUUUUUUUGAAUUUUUACUUUUUAUGACAGGACCCGAUCCAAAUUCCGCUUUGGAAUUCGAGUCGGAUCCUGUGCGUGUCCGACACUUGGGAAAUGUCGGGCACAAAUGACCAAUUUGCCCUUCUAGUCACAGACUUAAUUUUAGAUUAGACUUGACUUCUACCGAAAAUUCGGCAGAGUCUCCCCUGUAAUUUGUUCAAUCCCAAAAUUUCACCUGUCAAAACGAGUAUGUAUAUUUAUACAACCAACCAACUGCCAGUAUACUUAAAUAUACCUUCCAACAGUUCUGUUCUCAAUCUAGGGCAACAUAUCAGAGCAAUUACUAAGAGUUUACAGAUGAGUUAAUCCAUUUACAAAACAGAACUUCUACAUCAAAGGAAGGGCGCGGAAGACGGAAAAAUGGCCCGGUGGUGGAUUUAUGUGCACGUCUACAGCCUGGGGGCGCAAAACAUUCAAAAAUGUGAGUGGACAAAAGCAAAGGUCUAGAAAAUAGCAUAAGAACAUACUAACCCCACUGUACAAAAAACAAUUAUGUAAAAACUGAAUUUUUCCUUUUCAUCAUAUUCGUACUAAAAUCAAUGCAUUCACAUAUUUAAAACGUAUAUGCCAAUCAUAUUCAAGAUCAAUAAAAUUCUCUUAAAAACACUGUAAUCAAUUUAAAACUACCACCUAGGUGUACCCCUUUUAUUCCGUCAAUUUCUGAUAUCCGUCAAUUCCCUUGGCAGGUCUCGGUGACACAAAGUCAACCCGAGCAGCAAACUGGCAGGAUUCAAGGGACCAUAGUCAGCCUGAUCCGCAUUCCUGGCUCUCACGGUCCGGGCGUCCUCGAAACUCGUGAGGCAAAUGUCAAGUGCACUGACAAAACUAAAGGCAAACUGGAUGUCCGUAGACAUCGUCAAAUCCGAAGGCAACAUAUACUGAAGGCAAACUAUUUCUAUAACUGAGUACAUAAGGUGGCUUCAGAACAUAUAAAAUUUCUGAUAGGUCUAAUGAAAAACUGAAUUUUUGUUAAAUCUAGAACUCUGCUGCCAUUUUAUCUAAUAUAAAUAUCAAACUCUACUUUCCAUAACUUUUAGCAUUUUAACUAGGCAACAUAUAAAUAAAGAUAUUUAACUUCAACAAAACAUGCUAGGAAAACCACAAUCAAUAAAACUUAUUCAAGAUAAAAUAAUGGAAUUUAUUUGCAUAAAAUCACUUAUAAAAUAAAAGUCCACUCACUCCUGGUCCGAGCUAGCUAGACCUCCUGAAGGUCCCUCUUGCGGGUCUGCUUGGCCCCGGGUGCCUGGUUAAACCACCAUGAAUAUUGAAUUAAUAAAAAUGCUCGGUAUAAAUAUUUAAUAAAAACCCUGACCCCCGGCUCCUAGAAGUGCGUGCACUAACUUUAAAGUCAUUCUUAAGUCCACUUAAGCAAUUCGGAUGGUUAAAACUGUCUGAAAAGACCCGAGACUCACUAAGUAAUAAACUUCCAUAUUUGGAACCACUUUUGUUCUUGGACCUACCUCAAAAACUGACCGGAAGUGGCCGAACACAGAGGCCGAAAACCGGCCGAAUUUUCAAAUUCAAAAAACCAAUAGCUACACUGAGAACUGAUUAAUUCCUACAUAACAGGCAGCUAGAACAGCUCGAGAUGUUCAAAAUCCAUACAUGGCUCGUCGGAAAAGGUGGCCGGAGGAGGGAGAUCGACAGAGGUGAAGAUCGGACGACACCGGCCGCUUCUUCUCCAUUUUUCGGCGAAAUCAUGGCGGCUGGAGGCGGGAGCUGGCUGGGGCUGGAAGAGUACGACUCCCCGGUCAUUUUGGUACCGGCCCCGUCCACAGCCGUGGCCGGUGGCCAGAGUUUCGAAGAGAGAAAGAUAAGCCGUCGGAGAAGAAGGGAGCUCGCGAGAGAGAGAGAGAGAGAGAGAGAGAGAGAGAGAGAAAUCUGAUUUUUAUAAAAUCCCAUUUCGAAAUAAUUACGAUUGUGCCACUGAGUUUCUUUUGAUCAUAUCUCUCUCGUUACAACUCCGAUUCGAGCCCACUACGUGUCUAUGAACUCAUUUCAUCGUGCUCUACGCAACGGUGUCUGUAGAAUUGUCAAAUUUCUUUCCGGUCAAAAAGUCAACUUUUCGUUAAUAAAUUAUUCAAAGGGCAAAAUUGUCUUUCCUCAUAAUAAAUUACUAAUUAAAUAUGAAUUUUGGGUUUGGGUCAUUACAUUUUAAGUUUAAUUUAAUUGUAUGAUUUUUUUAAUUACUUUAAUUUAAAUUGACAUAUUCAAAAUAAAAUUACAUAUGAAAAAUAGUGAUCAAAUUAUCCAAUAAAUAUAUAUAUAUAUAUAUAUAUAUGUUCACCCGUUUUCGCGUUUACUCCUGUGAUGGAAGGGCGAAAUUCCCCACUGGCUUCGAGACCAUGUGUUGGUCAACAAGUCAGCUUUCUUUGGUGUGCGAGCGUGCCACUGCUAGCAAUGUAAAUUCUAGCAGACUCCUUUUAGAACAGAUGACUUGCGCCCCAAGUUACUGACCUCUAAAACAAACGAUUAUGAAUUUGGGUGAGGAAUAUCUCCCAAGUAAGUUCUUUUCUUGCCUUAGACUGGUAAGGACUUUCACAAUUUAUCUCAGUAUCAAACGGCUAUUCUGGCCAGAAAUAUUUGAUAGAAGUUGGACUGUUUUAGGGAGAACUGCCUUUUACAAGGCAAUAAAUAUGCAUAUCGACUCUAGGAAGGUUAAAAGAUGGCCGGAACUCCAUUUCUGCUUGGGUGGGAGGUUCCAGUUUGGGCUGGACUGGACGCGCUUGUGUCGGUCCGUACUGCUUCGUGACUUUAGAUGCCAGGCUGACCUGUGAAUCGAUACCAAAGUUCGAUUUUGGCAGAGCUUUAUGUUUUCUUCACGCUUCGUGAGGCCUUUGAGUGGGCAGAACUGCAGUUCCUUUAGUUUUGAAGGGGCAGAAGUGGCUGUUCUCGAGGGCUUAACGAACUAGGGAUUGCACUACAAACGUUGUUCUACUUGAGCAGGACUCUUCCUGAGUUUGCUGAGGUCUCCACGUCUGUGAAAACUCAAACUCUGCUUGUCUUGGUUUUUGCUGAACCAAAUUUGUAACGAGGGAUCUCGUUUUUGAAGACUUAUUUUCUAAGUCUGAACUUUGGAAUUCUGAUCUAAAGCUGGUUUCUCUUGGAAUUCAAGUGAGCUUUUGGCUGUUUUUCUUGUUGUUGUUUUUUUUGAUUGAUCAAUUGAGUGUCCUUUUCUUUCUUGCCUAUUUUUGUUUUUAUAAGAGACCUUCCUGGAGGUGUUUUUAAUUUUAAUAAUGGGCGGCAAAAAGAUCUCCUAAAACGUAAAGUAUAAAAGAUUUUAUCAAUCAAUGGCAGAUAGGCUCACAGCAGUCACCUCCUAAAGCAGUCCUUUCCCUGGUUUCCUGGGCGGCAGUUUUUUUGUUUCAACCAACGCUACCGUCUGUGUGGGCUUUUUAUGGCGGUUUGGUUUUCUUUCUGUACUUCCUGAACAAUUCCCUGUUUUUCGUUCUAACUGAGAGAGCGUGACCCGUGAAUUCCUUGGAAGAUGGUGUAUUUGCUUUGGAGCAAAAUCUCUGAAUAUAGAUGGGCUUUUGAUUUUCUGUUGGCAGUGUUUCAGAGUCGUCUCUUCCCAUAUAAAAAAUUCCAGUUGAAAAUGCUGACUUUUCAAAGCUGAGGUAGCCACGUGGGUGUGUUUUUAAUCUCUUGGGUUCGAGCCCAACAAAAAUUGUGGGCUGAUCUUUGAAGUCUUAAUGACGGCUUCCAUGCUUGGCUUUUCUUGGGCUGGGCGAGUAACUAUACUAUGGGCUUUGUCUUUUUGAAUCUUUCUUGGCGUGCCAAUUUUAGGCCCAAACAAUAUAUAUAUAAUAUUCAAAAUGUACACGUAAAUUAACAAAGUACAAUAAUAAAAUCCUAAUACAAGCCUAUUGUGGUGGUAGUGGCGGAUGAUAUGUUUCGAUAGCGUCCUAAUCCUCAACUUUAGCCGUCAAAGUCUCGACGAUUCCCUACAAAAAAAUAAAUAUGGUCAAAUAACAAAAAGGAAAAAAAAAAUUGGCAUAAUCUCCCCUAAAAUUGUUAUACCAAAAAUCCAACCCAAACUCCAAUCCUCACUCGAUACUCAACCCCAAACCCCACACAAACUCAAAACUAACUCCAAAAACUCAUAUUAAUGAAAAAAAUUUAAAAUUUGGAGAGAAUAUACCUUUUGGCAAGAUUGAGAGGGAGAAGUGAAUGUGAAAGAAUUAGAGAGGAUAGUGAAAGAGAGAUGAGAGAGUGAGUGAGAGUGAGAGAUAGUGACAAGAGAGAUGAGAGAGUGUGAGAGUGAGAGUGAGAGAUAGUGAAGAGAGAGAUGAGAGAUUAAGUGAGAGGAGUGAGUGUGAGAGAAAGAGUGGGAUUUGGGGAGAGGAAAAGAGAGAGGAGAGGUAAGAGUAGAGAAAGACAUUGAGAAAAUGGUGGAGGAGUUAUUUUAGUUUUAAAAACUUUAAAGACCAUAUCACUUUGCUCAACGAAAAAUAUAGGAAUAUUGGUCGUGCAAAGUCUAAAACAAAUUAUUAAAAAAAAAAUUCCCGCAUCCCAUUUUUGGUACCCUCCCAAAUUUUUAGAGUUUUGGCGAAGAAAAAUAUUGGUCGCACAAAGUCUAGAAAAAUUAAAUAAAAAUAAUAAUAAUAUUUCCCGCAUUCCAUUUUUGGUACCAGCCCAAAUUUUUUAAGUUUUGCGCAACGAAAAAUAUUGGUCGCGCAAAGUCUAAAAAAAAUAUUAAAAAAAUAAAAUAUCCCGCGUCCCAUUUUUGGUACCUGCCCAAAUUUUUAGAGUUUUGCACGACGAACUGUUGGUCGCGCAAACUUUUGAGAGACGAAAAAUUGGUUCGUAGUGCAAUAUUUAUAAAAAUAAUUGUUACGAAUAAUAAAAAAUAAAAUUAUUUCAUUGUACGAUUGAAAAUAUAAAUAAGGUUAAAGCUACUUAAUAAAUAUAUAUACUAUUCAAUUUCCUAAAUGUUAUACGUACAAAAUAAAUAAAUUUAAAGCUACUUAAUAAAUAAAUAAAUAAAAAUAUAUGUAUACACACACACACACCAUUCAAGGAUCCAACCAUUAAACUUGUUUGUAUAUACUUCAAGAUCGUAUACCCAAAAAAUCGCAAAAAAUAAACAUUUAGAGAUCUAGUAACGGGACAAAACUUUUCGAUGGUUAUAAAUGAAAAAUCACGAUUUAACAGUUAUUUUAACUCCGAUUUUGAUGAUUUUUUACUGCUACACUCCUUGACCCUAUAUGAAUAUAAUGACUGAAUUUGAUCUUCAAUUUAAAUAUUUACACUAGUGGAUACCACAAAAUCUUAUGUUAUAUUUAACGAAAAUAUAAAUAAACUCUUAAUUGUUAGUAAAUAUAUUGUUUUGAUGGCAUACGCAUUCUAUGAAACUAGUUUCAACGAUCCAACCGUCAAACUUGUUUGUUUAUACUUCGAGAUCAUAUACGCCAAAAAUCGAAAAAAAUAAACAUUCAGAGAUCAAGUAACGGGACAAAACGUUUCGACGGUUAUAAAUGAAACAUCAUGAUUUAACGGUUAUUUUAACCCCGAUUUUGAUGAUUUUUUACAGCUACACUCCUUGACCCUAUAUGAAUACAAUGAUUGAAUUUGAUCUUCAAUUUAAAAUAUUUACACUAGUGGAUACCACAAAAUCUUAUGUUAUAUUUAAUGAAAGUAUAGAUAAACUCUUAAUUGUUAGUGAAUAUAUUGUUUUGAUAGCAUACGCAUUCUAUGAAAACUAGUUUCAACGAUCCAACCGUCAAACUUGUUUGUUUAUACUUCGAGAUCAUAUAUGCCAAAAAUCGGAAAAAAUAAACAUUCAGAGAUCAAGUAAUGGGAAAAAACUUUUCGACGGUUAUAAAUGAAAAAUCACGAUUUAACGGUUAUUUUAACUCCAAUUUUGAUGAUUUUUUACAGUUACACUCCUUGACCCUAUAUGAAUACAAUGACUGAAUUUGAUCUUCAAUUUAAAAUAUUUACACUAGUGGAUACCACAAAAUCUUAUGUUAUAUUUAACGAAAGUAUAAAUAAACUCUUAAUUGUUAAUGAAUAUAUUGUUUUGAUGGCAUACACAUUCUACGAAACUAGUUUCAACGAUCCAACUGUCAAACUUGUUUGUUUAUACUUCGAGAUCAUAUACGCCAAAAAUCGGAAAAAAAUAAACAUUCAGAGAUCAAGUAAUGGGACAAAACUUUUCGACGGUUAUAAUGAAAAAUCACGAUUUAACGGUUAUGUUAACUCCGAUUUUGAUGAUUUUUUUACAGCUACACUCCUUGACCCUAUAUGAAUACAAUGAACUAAUUCGAUCGUCAAUUUAAAAUAUAUAUUUUUUAACAAAAACCCAAUCCGAACUACAAUAAUAUAUUUUUCUAACAAAUUUCCGAUCCGAACUAAAAUAAUAAAUGUAAAACUACUUAAUAAAUAUAUAUACCGUUUAAUUUCUUAAGUGUUAUGCACACAAAAUAAAAAACAAAAAUAAAUUGGUUUAGGCGACGAAAUAUUUGGAUUACGUCAUGCAAAGAUUUUAAAAAAUAAUUUUUUUAUUUGAUUUAUUUUUGUAAAGACUUUGCUCAAUGAAACACACUUCGCCGCUCAAGACUUUUUGCAACGAAGUUUAUUGUUUCGUCGUGCAAAGUCGCUUUGAGCAACGAUGUAUUGUCAUCGCGCAAAGUGACUUUGCACGACGAAUUAUUUUUCGUCGCACAAAAUUUGGUUGCUCAAGACUUUGAGAGACGAAAUUUUGAGUUUCGUAGCGCACAGUGACUUUGAGCGACGAACAGUUUUUCAUCGCGCAAGGUUUUUUUUUAUACUAGUGAUGUUUGAGCUUAUGGAUUGGUUCAUGGUGGAUUUGAAUUGUGACUCAGAGUUGCUUGGGUGAAGCUGAUGAUUGUGUGCAUUGCAAGACUAGACAAGGUUGAAUAUGGUUUUUAUUUUAUUUAUUUUUUCUGUUUUUGUUAGACCAUUUUGGUUCACUUAUUCUCCCUGAAUAUUAUGCCCAAAGUAGUAAAAUAAAUUAUCGCAACUAUUAAAAAGUAUAUUUAUGUUCGGCAUCAUCUCAUGUUGUGUAUGAAUUGAGCAAUAAAAAGGUGAAAGAUAAAUUAUAGAGAAACAUGUGGCGCAAGUGUUACAUUUGUAUUACUUUUGUUUCAUUCUUUUGUUGUACUAAUGCCUCAUUGUCUUUUUUUAUCCCCCUCCACCUGAAGUAGUACUAUUUGAUAUUGAUGGAACUCUGUGUGAUUUAGAUCCCAUUCAUUUUUUCAAUGCCUUCCACCAGAUGCUUUCAUAGAUAAAGUGAUUGUUUUGUUUCCUACUAUUCUGUCAUAAGGAAAAUAUGGAGGAUUUAUCUAGCCAUAAUUUGACAUUUUUCUUGGGUUUUAUGGACUACAAUGUGUUCAAUUAGAAAGCAUUAGUUCAUUUGAUGUUUUUAGUUGAGGUUGUGGUGAUUUUCAUUUAUUUUCAUUUUUUGUAAGAUGUUAACAGCGUACAAGAGAGUCAAGAAGAGGUUGUGUGUAAAAGGAGGUUCUUUGCAGGC